GAUGAACGCUAGCGGCAGGCUUAACACAUGCAAGUCGAGGGGCAGCGCGGGUAGCAAUACCUGGCGGCGACCGGCAAACGGGUGCGGAACACGUACAGAACCUACCUUGAUCUGGGGCAUAGCCCGAAGAAAUUCGGAUUAACUCCCCAUAAUAUUAUUGGAUGGCAUCAUUUGGUAAUUAAAAAUUUAUUGGAUCAAGAUGGCUGUGCGUCCCAUUAGCUAGUUGGUAGGGUAACGGCCUACCAAGGCGACGAUGGGUAGCUGGUGUGAGAGCGCGACCAGCCACACGGGCACUGAGACACGGGCCCGACUCCUACGGGAGGCAGCAGUGAGGAAUAUUGGUCAAUGGACGCAAGUCUGAACCAGCCAUGCCGCGUGAAGGAUGAAGGCCUUCUGGGUUGUAAACUUCUUUUAUCUGGGAAGAAAACUACGGUUUCUACUGUAGCCGACGGUACCAGAGGAAUAAGCACCGGCUAACUCCGUGCCAGCAGCCGCGGUAAGAC
rnacentral:rRNA from 1 species